UACAGAGGGUGCGAGCGUUAAUCGGAAUUACUGGGCGUAAAGCGCGCGUAGGCGGCUUUUCAAGCCGAUUGUGAAAUCCCCGGGCUUAACCUGGGAAUGGCGCUUGUUACUGGCAAGCUAGAGUGCGUCAGAGGGAGGUAGAAUUCCACGUGUAGCAGUGAAAUGCGUAGAGAUGAUGGAGGAAUACCGAUGGCGAAGGCAGCCUCCUGGGAUAACACUGACGCUCAUGCACGAAAGCGUGGGGAGCAAACAGG
rnacentral:rRNA from 1 species